UGGCAGGUAGUUCAGCGGCCUAGAACACCUAAAACAUCCUUUUUCAUACCUUGCCUGAAAAGGCCGACGAAUGAGGGUUAUCGCCUUCCACGCGGGAGAUCGCAGGUUCAAAUCCUGCCCUGCCAC
rnacentral:tRNA from 1 species